GCGCCGAGGCGAGCCUCUUGACGCGGGCCACGCCGUCGCAGGCCGACAGCAGCAGCCACCGUGCGGAGGGAGGUGGCGCAGAUCCAGGGCCUCUGCGCGCAAAUGGACCACCUCUGGCGCUCCAUCCCCGCCAAGGGCCAGCGCGACCUCUGGAAGAGGUGGGUGACGGUGGUCUUCUUCUUCCUCUUGGCAACAAAACUGAAUCUGCCUGUUGGUUACAAAAAUCCAGCGACAUUUUAGUUUGCGUCCUUCUUGGUGGGUGGUUCGGAGGGGAAGCCCAUCAAGAACACGCAGCGAGUGAGAAGCACUCGCUGAGCUUAGAUGAUGUAUAUGUCAGCCUUGCCUCGGCAAAUUGUAGCUGCACUCUAGCUGAUUGGGGAUGCCGGUGCCAGAACCACCACGACCUCCACAUGCACGCCGUCAAUUGAGAGUUCCUAAUAGUAACUCAGCUUCUCAUGAUGUUACUUCUGCUUUAUAUGUCGGCAUGUACGAUUCUUAGUAGAUUUAACCAGGGUCUCAGUGUUUUGAUUCCAAUACCCAUCAUGCGCAAGCAGUAAAUAACUUAUUGAAAAUUAGCUUUUCGUCAUAGGAAUUGGCAUAACCAGGUUAGCAUGUAGAGAGCAUGAUUUUAUUUGUUGCUUCUAACUUAUUACUAAUUCUUGAUUUGUUGGUUUAUCCAUCCACCUUCUGGGAGCAGUGGAAAUCCUGCAGCCGCAUAUAUUAGAGUAAUAUGUACCAUUUUGAACCUUGAUUUUGUCCCCAGCUUGCACCAAAUGGCACUACCUACCAGCUUGCACCAAAACGGUAGUGUCAUUAUCAUGGUUCUGGAAUAUAUAGGGGACGGCGCCUGGGAAGGUCUCUCUUGUGCUUUGUUUCAUUCAUGGGCGUGGAUGAUAUAGGGUUAGUUAGAGUUCUGCUACUUUUGGGAUUAAUUGGCUCCAAUGCCUGUUGUCUGUGGAUGGUCUCUUCUCCCUGUGCAGCAGCACCAGGAUGGAUUCGGCACUAAGCCGGCGUGAGCCACAAAUUUGCCAUGAAAGGAGCUAUUCCCGGUGAUCAUGAUGUUGCCAAGACUAAGAGAACCAGUGUUAUAUCGGUGAUGCCUUUUGCCACUUGAGAGAUCCAGCACGGUAUUUUUACUUUUCUUCUCUCAUAGAAAAGAAUAAAAAAAGAUACUGCUCCAAAUACUCUUUCAGUUUUUUUUCUGUAAGUUUCCUACAACGCAUUUGCAACAGUAUUGCUAAGAAUAAGAUGCAUCAGCUGACAUACUGACUACCAAGCAAGAGCUACACUAUUGUCAGACAUCAGUCCAUGAGCUAUAUAGUAUAUUCCCUCUGUUGGCUAUACACUUCUCUUGGUACGUCUAAACAUUCUGUCAAUUGGUCCUACAUUACCUUGGCUUCUCUAUAAACACAUUCUAUGCAUGAAGAACAUAUCAUGCUAUGCCCUAUCCCAUCGUAGUCCUGCCUGAUUCACAGUAGGAUCAUCACUCUACUUUUCUCUGUAAGAUUAAACUGCUGGUCUUCAUAUACUUUUGUUAUGUAGAAUCACUCUCUUUUGUUUAUAGAUAUUAAUCUAUUCUGAACUACUGCAUAAGAUUACUUUGUUCUUGGAAUGCCAUUCUUUCCAAUGACAUUAUGUUCUCUUUUGCAAUCAUUUUCUUUUUGGAGAUUCAGAUUUUCUUUGCACAAAUAAUGUUAGUUUCCAGUAGCACCAAAUUCAUUUUCCCAUGUCAGCGAGACCAAUUCCGUGAUGAAGGUCUCUACGGAAUGCGCACUAAUUUAGAAUAGUGUAGGAAUGACCACUCAACUAGCUAGCGUUCCAAACUUCAAUUCCAUGUAGUGAUACCCAACAACACAACAAUUUGAAGUCUCUUUUUUCUAGAGAAAAAGGGACCCUGCCCCGGCUCCAUUUUACUAAAAAAAAUAAAGCCCACCAAAUCUUACUUCUUACAAUGCGUACAGAGUACAACAUAGCACGCCUUAGCAAAAGGAGGUAAAUCUCGCGUGGAAUCCAAAACUACAAGAUCUCUGAUACGAAAACAUACACGUUCCUCGCACCAUAGCAUAGAUAAAUAUUAGCAUGGUAUUGUCACAUUUAGUCAGACUGAUUUAUCAAAAGGGAAUGAAAUUGGAUUUUGUAUCCCAUAUGUAAAGGAGGUAUGUUAUCAGUUUCUGUUUAACUUUUCAUGAAUGCACAUCAAUUAUGAUUUAUGAAUUGAUUUUAUGAGCAAAUAGAUGCUAGCAAGCAAUUUCAUUUCAGUUCUGAAGAUUAUAUUUUAAUGCCUACUACCUACUAAUUAAGGUGGGAUAAAGAUGGAAAUCCGCCUGCAAUUACAAAUGUCCUCAUGCUUUGUUCAACAAAAAUGUUAGCAAUAAUACAGUACAUCAACUGUCUAUUGUGAGCAACAACCAAUGUCUUGUAUAUUAUUUAUGUUAUAAUUUUUUUGAUUGGCAGUUUCUGUUUUUUCUUGGAAUUCAAAUACAUUAUGAAACUCUUAUUCGUCAAUACUUACACAAGAACAUUGUGGAUCAAAGGUCAAUAUUCUGACUAAACAGUUGAUGGACUCUGUCAUGAAGGUUGUGCAGUAUCACCAUGUAACGCACAUCUUCUGCAUGCUACUGGUCAUGGUGGUGCUUGCCAAGCAUAGGACGUCCAUGAAGUACAACCUCAACUCUCUCAGGUUCAUCAGCUCCAAUGGCACGCUGGUCCGCGUAUGUGAAGAACUUCCUUGGCGUCGAGAUGUUUCAGGUAAUUGGCCAAUUGUUUUGCAGUUUAACUGCGAGUGACAGCAGUAUUAAUUGUGUGGCUUAGGAAGACUAUAGACUUUUCAGCGUCUUGUUGUUCUUAUGUUGGGCACAUCUUUCUUGUCAUUUCUUCAAAGUCAAUCUUGUGUGGUGCAUUUUUGUUCAUCUAUGUCCUUUGGUAGAACCAAACAAGAGCUUUAUAUAGAUGGAUAUCUUUUAAUCUGCCUGUACUGCGUUUAUUAGAGUGCUCUGCACAGAAAAAAUAUUUUCUUAAGCAUACUGCCCCUUUUAUCAAUUGUUUAUGACUACAUAUGGAUGGAUGAUUAAAGGCAAGACUUUACUAGAUGAAAUAUAAGGGGAUAUUUCAGCUUUAUUAUCUGCUUUGCCGGCUACCUGUUAUAUGCAAUUUUUUCUUCUGGAUUCUAGAUUACCGAGUGGUCUCUAAUACACCAUGAAACUUAUCUUUAUAAGUUGGCCUUAAGCCGACGGACAAUAUUUAGUACUGGUAAAAAAGUUUAUGUUGUGAUAGUCGUAUGUCGUAUACCAGGAUGGUGAACUGUACCAGCUCACUGCUCAUGACAUUUUUGUCAGUACUAUGGUUCCUAUGAAGGAGCUUCCUCUUGUGACUGUAAAUUGUUUUUACUAGGCAUUGUCCCAUAUGGUAUAGAUAUGGCCGAUGGCUUUAAUUCAUUAAGAGAUUUGCUUAUAUCAACACCAGUACACCACUAUCCACUCACAUCAAUCACACUCUUUGUAUGCUGCAAAUUGACGGAUGCAUGACUUCUCACUGGGAAGUUUAUCAACCCAUAGGUACGAAACUAGCUCAAUUUCACACGAGUACUAACUACAUAUUGAAAUGCAGACUAAGGACACAAAGGCGAAGAUGGCCGAGAAGACUCCACGGAGGCUUCUAAGGAAAGAAAUGCGCUGAUUUACUGAGCAACAAGUUGAUCUAUUGUGAGAGGCACUACGCAGAGGAUGGACAUAACAGGGGACACGUUUGAGCCCUAUGUAGAUCUUCUGCGUCUUACUUUAUGCAAGUUUGAUUAUAUGAGUGCGUUACUUUUUUGAUGAUAUUAUCAUAUUUGAAAGGAAUGAGAAGCACAACUCCUAA